rnacentral:rRNA from 1 species
UACGGAGGGUGCAAGCGUUAUCCGGAUUCACUGGGGUUAAAGGGUGCGUAGGCGGAUUAGAAAGUCCGUUGUGAAAUCUCUGAGCUUAACUCGGAAAUUGCGGUGGAUACUACUAGUCUUGAAUACUGUGGAGGUUAGCGGAAUAUGUCAUGUAGCGGUGAAAUGCAUAGAUAUGACAUAGAACACCAAUUGCGAAGGCAGCUGGCUACACAGAUAUUGACGCUGAGGCACGAAAGCGUGGGGAUCAAACAGG